UGUUGGCUUUUGUCGUUUCUGAAUGCAGGAGCAGGGUGUCGUUCCCCUUUCUCCUUUCGAUAAGGCAGAGGGAGAGAGCUCCAACGGCGGAGGAGGCGGAGGCGAUUGCUUCUGUUCAUGGCGAUUCCGAGCUCAUCCAUCGCAGGAUUUUGAUUUCUUCUCCUUGUUUUCUUCGUCCGCCGGCUGCCCUGGUAGUAUCUCAAUGAGUACACUGCAUAAAGUCUGUCGCAAGGAUGUUCCCCUACUUUCUUCACUCGAGAGCGCUGAUUCUUUGAACGAUCCUUAUGUGCCUAAUGAUUUUGCUGAUGAUGGUUCUAGUGCUAUGUCUUUGGUUGUCCUGGUGAUGAUGAAGAGUUUGAUAAAGCACUUUACAAUUUCUAUGUGAAUAAUAAAGUCAAGUACCUGAAGAGAAAAUUAUCAUCUGCUGGCAGAAGGAAUGUUUGUAAUCCUGUCAGGUGCUUUUGACGGGUCAAUGAAGGACAGUAGGGGCGACUGGUUCAACCAUUCUGUCAAUGUUAGUCGCUUGACGGGUCACAACUACAGCCCGACCCGUUUUCUUCAGGAAAAACAGACAUACAACUGUCAACAGAUCAUUGGUUGGAAAAUUUAAAUGAUAACCAAUUACAAAUCAGUCGAUUGUUGAAUAGACAGUCCCCAUUGCAAAAGUACUUUGUUUUCCUUCCUGACCUGAGACCAUGGCCUUUUUGGGUGCUAUCCUUUUUUAUUGUGACAUCAUCAAGUACUA